UACGAAGGGGGCUAGCGUUGUUCGGAAUUACUGGGCGUAAAGCGCGCGUAGGCGGACCUGCAAGUCGGGGGUGAAAGCCCGAGGCUCAACCACAGAAUUGCCUUCGAUACUGCAUGGCUUGAGACCGGAAGAGGUUAGUGGAACUGCGAGUGUAGAGGUGAAAUUCGUAGAUAUCGGGAGGAACACCAGUGGCGAAGGCGGCGACCUGGGCAGAUACUGACACUGAGGUGCGAAAAGCGUGGGGAGCAAACAGG
rnacentral:rRNA from 1 species